rnacentral:rRNA from 1 species
AGUGAACGCUGGCGGUAGGCCUAACACAUGCAAGUCGAACGGCAGCACAGUAAGAGCUUGCUCUUACGGGUGGCGAGUGGCGGACGGGUGAGGAAUACAUCGGAAUCUACUUUUUCGUGGGGGAUAACGUAGGGAAACUUACGCUAAUACCGCAUACGACCUACGGGUGAAAGCAGGGGAUCUUCGGACCUUGCGCGAUUGAAUGAGCCGAUGUCGGAUUAGCUAGUUGGCGGGGUAAAGGCCCACCAAGGCGGCGAUCCGUAGCUGGUCUGAGAGGAUGAUCAGCCACACUGGAACUGAGACACGGUCCAGACUCCUACGGGAGGCAGCAGUGGGGAAUAUUGGACAAUGGGCGCAAGCCUGAUCCAGCCAUACCGCGUGGGUGAAGAAGGCCUUCGGGUUGUAAAGCCCUUUUGUUGGGAAAGAAAAGCAGCAGGUUAAUACCCCGCUGUUCUGACGGUACCCAAAGAAUAAGCACUGGCUAACUUCGUG